rnacentral:rRNA from 1 species
AGUGAACGCUGGCGGCGUGCUUAACACAUGCAAGUCGAACGAGAACGGAUUAUAGCUUGCUAUAAUUGUCAGCUAAGUGGCGCACGGGUGAGUAAUGUAUAGGUAAUAUGCCUCUUACUAAGGGAUAACAAAUGGAAACGUUUGCUAAUACCUUAUACUCCUUAUUAACAGAAGUUAAUAAGGGAAAGAUUUAUUGGUAAGAGAUUAGCCUGUAUUGUAUCAGUUAGUUGGUGGGGUAAUGGCUUACCAAGACUAUGACACAUAACUGGUUUGAGAGGAUGAUCAGUCACACUGGAACUGAGACACGGUCCAGACUCCGACGGGGGGCAGCAGUGGGGAAUAUUGCACAAUGGACGAAAGUCUGAUGCAGCAACGCCGCGUGGAGGAUGACACAUUUCGGUGCGUAAACUCCUUUUAUAUGAGAAGAUAAUGACGGUAUUAUAUGAAUAAGCACCGGCUAACUCCGUGCCAGCCGCCGCGGUAA